CGUAGGGUGCAAGCGUUGUCCGGAAUUAUUGGGCGUAAAGAGCUCGUAGGCGGUUUGUUGCGUCGGCUGUGAAAUCCCGAGGCUCAACCUCGGGUCUGCAGUCGAUACGAGCAAACUAGAGUGUUGCAGGGGAGACUGGAAUUCCUGGUGUAGCGGUGAAAUGCGCAGAUAUCAGGAGGAACACCGGUGGCGAAGGCGGCAUCCUGGACCGACAUUGACGCUGAUGAGCGAAAGCUAGGGGAGCAAACGGG
rnacentral:rRNA from 1 species